rnacentral:rRNA from 1 species
UACAGAGGGUGCAAGCGUUACUCGGAAUUACUGGGCGUAAAGCGCGCGUAGGUGGUUUGUUAAGUUGGAUGUGAAAUCCCCGGGCUCAACCUGGGAACUGCAUCCAAAACUGGCAAGCUAGAGUAUGGUAGAGGGUGGUGGAAUUUCCUGUGUAGCGGUGAAAUGCGUAGAUAUAGGAAGGAACACCAGUGGCGAAGGCGACCACUUGGACUGAUACUGACACUGAGGUGCGAAAGCGUGGGGAGCAAACAGG